GACAGUCGCUGACAAUUUGUUAGAGGAAAGUCCAUGCUCGCACAAUCUGCGAUGAUUGUAGUGUUUGUGCUAGAUGAAUUAAUAAGUCUAGGCAAGAAAUUGACGGCUGUUCUUCGAUCUAAGGCAAUUAAGCUAAGAAAGAAGACUUUAAAAGUGCCACAGAGACGAGCUGGUAUGGAAACAUACCAGGUGGAACGGGUAAACCCCACAAGCGAGAAACCCAAAUUUGGUAGGGGAAUCAGCCAGAAUGAAAUGAAAGGAUGGCUGGAAGGUGAAAACCUUAGAUAAAUGACUGUCACUGGGAAACCAGAACAGAACAUGGCUUAU
rnacentral:RNase_P_RNA from 1 species